rnacentral:rRNA from 1 species
AACGAACGCUGGCGGCAUGCCUAACACAUGCAAGUCGAACGAGACCUUCGGGUCUAGUGGCGCACGGGUGCGUAACGCGUGGGAACCUGCCCUUAGGUUCGGAAUAACUCCCCGAAAGGGGUGCUAAUACCGGAUAAUGUCUUCGGACCAAAGAUUUAUCGCCUUUGGAUGGGCCCGCGUUGGAUUAGCUAGUUGGUAGGGUAAAAGCCUACCAAGGCGACGAUCCAUAGCUGGUCUGAGAGGAUGAUCAGCCACACUGGGACUGAGACACGGCCCAGACUCCUACGGGAGGCAGCAGUGGGGACUAUUGGACAAGGGGCGAAAGCCUGCUCCAGCAAUGCCGCGUGAGGGAUGAAGGCCUUAGGGUGGUAAAGCUCUUUUACCCGGGAUGAUAAUGACAGUACCGGGAGAAUAAGCUCCGGCUAACUCCGUG